rnacentral:rRNA from 1 species
AACGAACGCUGGCGGCAUGCCUAACACAUGCAAGUCGAACGAAGGCUUCGGCCUUAGUGGCGCACGGGUGCGUAACGCGUGGGAAUCUGCCCUUUGGUUCGGAAUAACAGCUGGAAACGGCUGCUAAUACCGGAUGAUGACGAAAGUCCAAAGAUUUAUCGCCAGAGGAUGAGCCCGCGUUGGAUUAGGUAGUUGGUGGGGUAAAGGCCUACCAAGCCGACGAUCCAUAGCUGGUCUGAGAGGAUGAUCAGCCACACUGGGACUGAGACACGGCCCAGACUCCUACGGGAGGCAGCAGUGGGGAAUAUUGGACAAUGGGCGCAAGCCUGAUUCAGCAAUGCCGCGUGAGUGAUGAAGGCCCUAGGGUUGUAAAGCUCUUUUACCCGGGAAGAUAAUGACGGUACCGGGAGAAUAAGCCCCGGCUAACUCCGUG